GGGUACAGCUCAGUGGUAGAGCACAUGCCUAGCAUGCACGAGGUCCUGGGUUCAAUCCCCAGUACCGCCA
rnacentral:tRNA from 1 species